UAAAAAUUUAUUUAUUUUAGGUAGUAACAGAUUUCUUGAAACCUAAAGAAUUUGGCGGUAUUUUAAAUAAUUAGAGGAACCUGUUAAAUAAAUGAUAAUCCACAACAUAUCUUUCCUAAAUUAAGUUUGUAUACCGUUGUUUUCAGAUUAUAUUUUAAGAUUAUGAUCAAUAAUAAUAAAUUUUUAUAAAUCAAAUCAAGGUGCAGCACAUUUAGGUUCUAAUGGGUUACAAUAUAUUUAUAUAAACGAAUAAAUUAUGAAAAUAUUUUUGAAGGUGGAUUUAAAAGUAAUUUAAAAAUAAAAUGUUUAAAUGAAUAAAAAUUUAAAAUAUGC
rnacentral:rRNA from 1 species